AACUUGGUGAUGUAGUGGUAGCACACGUCCUCGAUAUGAAUGGAACGCGGGUUCGAUUUCCGUCUGAGUUA